GCCUGGGCAAUGGCGGGCGCCCCUCCCCAGCCUCGCUGCCGCCUUGCAGUUUGAUCUCAGACUGCCGUGCUAGCAAUCAGCGAGACUCCGUGGGCGUAGGACCCUCCAAGCCAGGUGUGGGAUAUAAUCUCGUGGUGCGCCGUUUUUUAAGCCCAUCGGAAAAGCGCAGUAUUCGGGCGGGAGCGACCUGAUUUUCCAGGUGCCGUCUGUCACCCCUUUCCUUGACUGGGAAAGGGAACUCCCUGACCCCUUGCGCUUCCCAAGUGAGGCAAUGCCUCGCCCUGCUUCGGCUCGCGCACAGUGUGCGCACCCACUGACCUGCGCCCACUGUCUGGCACUCCCUGGUGAGAUGAACCCGGUACCUCAGAUGGAAAUGCAGAAAUCACCGUCUUCUGCGUCGCUCACGCUGGGAACUGUAGACCGGAGCUGUUCCUAUUCGGCCAUCUUGAAUUGUAGGCAUUUUUAAAAACAGACUCUGGAGAUGAAUCUUUUCUAGUUAUAUACUUUCUCCUUCUUCAAAUGAUGGAACUUUAAGGAUGGAACCAAUUGGCUACAAAUCAUUUUAGCUGAUGCACUGAGACAAUUCUGAAGCAAACCGUCUUAUCCUGGAUUUUGUCAGUAACUGGAGUUGAAGGACUUGAAGAUUCUCAAGGAUUGAUCCAGAAUAUGUUCCAGCAAAAACUACAGCAGAGUAACUUGGACAAGAAAAAUGUUCACUUGCUACCUAAGGAGAGUCUCUGUCUCCUGACCUCUGAAUUUCGAAAUCCUCAGCUCUGGCUGCCACGCAGUGGGAACCGAAUGAGCUGAUCUCAAACUCCUGGCCUCAAGUGAUCCUCCCACUUCAGCCUCCCAAACUGUUGGAAUUACAAGCAUGAGCCACGGUACCUGACCUAGGGAUGUAUUUUUUAAAAUAAAGUCAAGCAACUGCCACAUUUCCAGGUACAUAGGCUGUGAGCAUCUUGAAGAUGAGAACCUGGAAAGUAAUAUUG